rnacentral:rRNA from 1 species
UACGAAGGGGGCUAGCGUUGUUCGGAAUUACUGGGCGUAAAGCGCACGUAGGCGGGUCGUUAAGUCAGGGGUGAAAUCCCGGAGCUCAACUCCGGAACUGCCUUUGAUACUGGCUAUCUUGAGUAUGGAAGAGGUAUGUGGAACUCCGAGUGUAGAGGUGAAAUUCGUAGAUAUUCGGAAGAACACCAGUGGCGAAGGCGACAUACUGGUCCAUUACUGACGCUGAGGCUCGAAAGCGUGGGGAGCAAACAGGAUUAGAAACCCGGGUAGU